CCAGGUUGACCUCGGAUCAGGUAGGAAUACGCGCUGAACUUAAGCAUAUCAAUAAGCGCAGGAAAAGAAACCAACAGGGAUUGCCUCAGUAACGGCGAGUGAAGCGGCAAUAGCUCAAAUUUGAAAUCUGGCCUCUCGGGGUCCGAGUUGUAAUUUGUAGAGGAUGUUUCGGGUACCGCCCCGGUGUAAAUUUCUUGGAACAGAAUGUCAUAGAGGGUGAGAAUCCCGUCUUGAACCGGUGGUAGGGCCUAUGUGAAACUCCUUCGACGAGUCGAGUUGUUUGGGAAUGCAGCUCAAAAUGGGUGGUAAAUUUCAUCUAAAGCUAAAUAUUGGCCAGAGACCGAUAGCGCACAAGUAGAGUGAUCGAAAGAUGAAAAGCACUUUGAAAAGAGAGUUAAACAGYAUGUGAAAUUGUUGAAAGGGAAGCGCUUGCAACCAGACUUGGGCGCGGCGGUUCCCCCAGCCUUUUGGCUGGGCUACUCCGCCGCGCCCAGGCCAACAUCGGUUCUGGGGGUCGGUUAAAGGCCCCGGGAAUGUACCUMCCCACGGGUAGACUUAUAGCCCGGGGCGUCAUGCGGCCUCCCGGGACCGAGGAACGCGCUCGGCUCGGA
rnacentral:rRNA from 1 species